CACCUCCCACCCGUGUUUACUGUACCUUAGUUGCUUCGGCGGGCCCGCCAUUCAUGGCCGCCGGGGGCUCUCAGCCCCGGGCCCGCGCCCGCCGGAGACACCACGAACUCUGUCUGAUCUAGUGAAGUCUGAGUUGAUUGUAUCGCAAUCAGUUAAAACUUUCAACAAUGGAUCUCUUGGUUCCGGCAUCGAUGAAGAACGCAGCGAAAUGCGAUAACUAGUGUGAAUUGCAGAAUUCCGUGAAUCAUCGAGUCUUUGAACGCACAUUGCGCCCCCUGGUAUUCCGGGGGGCAUGCCUGUCCGAGCGUCAUUGCUGCCCAUCAAGCACGGCUUGUGUGUUGGGUCGUCGUCCCCUCUCCGGGGGGGACGGGCCCCAAAGGCAGCGGCGGCACCGCGUCCGAUCCUCGAGCGUAUGGGGCUUUGUCACCCGCUCUGUAGGCCCGGCCGGCGCUUGCCGAACGCAAAUCAAUCUUUUUCCAGGUUGACCUCGGAUCAGGUAGGGAUACCCGCUGAACUUAAGCAUAUCAAUAAGCCGGAGGAAAU
rnacentral:rRNA from 1 species